rnacentral:rRNA from 1 species
UACGUAGGGGGCUAGCGUUGUCCGGAAUCAUUGGGCGUAAAGGGCGCGUAGGCGGUCCGAUAAGUCCUGUGUGAAAUCCCUCGGCUCAACUGAGGAACUGCACGGGAGACUGUCGGGCUUGAGUUCGGGAGAGGGAAGCGGAAUUCCGGGUGUAGCGGUGGAAAUGCGCAGAUAUCAGGAGGAACACCGGUGGCGAAGGCGGGUCUCUGGGCCGAUACUGACGCUGAGGAGCGAAAGCGUGGGGAGCGAACAGG